rnacentral:rRNA from 1 species
CCUACGGGUGGCAGCAGUGGGGGAUAUUGCACAAUGGGGGGAACCCUGAUGCAGCGAAGCCGCGUGUGGGAAGACGGUCCUCUGGAUUGUAAACCACUGUCCCCAGGGACGAAAAUGACGGUAGCUGGGGAGGAAGCUCCGGCUAACUACGUGCCAGCAGCCGCGGUAAUACGUAGGGAGCGAGCGUUGUCCGGAAUUACUGGGUGUAACGGGAGCGUAGGCGGGGAUGCAAGUUGGGGGUAAAAACUACCGGCUCAACUGGUAGUCGCACUCAAAACUGCUGCUCUUGAGGGAAGUAGAGGCAGGCGGAAUGCGUAGUGUAGCGGUGAAAUGCGUAGAUAUUAGGAGGAACACCAGUUGCGAAGGCGGCCUACUGGGCUUUUACUGACGCUGAGGCUCGAAAGUGUGGGGAGCAAACAGGAUUAGAUACCCCAGUAGUC